rnacentral:tRNA from 3 species
GCGGCCAUGGUUUAGUGGCAGAAUGCGUCCUUGCCAAGGACGAGAUGGGGGUCCGAUUCCCCCUGGCCGCACAA